UACGUAGGGCGCAAGCGUUGUCCGGAAUUAUUGGGCGUAAAGAGCUCGUAGGUGGCGUGUCGCGUCUGCCGUGAAAGCCCAUGGCUUAACUGUGGGUCUGCGGUGGAUACGGGCAGGCUGGAGGCUGGUAGGGGCAAGCGGAAUUCCUGGUGUAGCGGUGGAAUGCGCAGAUAUCAGGAGGAACACCGGUGGCGAAGGCGGUUCUCUGGGCCUUACCUGACGCUGAGGAGCGAAAGCGUGGGGAGCAAACAGG
rnacentral:rRNA from 1 species